rnacentral:rRNA from 1 species
GACGAACCGUGCAAACGUUAUUCGGAAUCACUGGGCUUAAAGGGCGCGUAGGCGGACAGGUAAGUCAGGGGUGAAAGCCCACGGCUCAACCGUGGAAGGGCCUUUGAUACUGCCUGUCUUGAGGGAGGUAGGGGCGUGCGGAACUUCCGGUGGAGCGGUGAAAUGCGUAGAUAUCGGAAGGAACACCGGUGGCGAAAGCGGCGCGCUGGAUCUCUACUGACGCUGAGGCGCGAAAGCCAGGGGAGCAAACGGGAUUAGAUACCCCGGUAGUCCUGGCCCUAAACGAUGGGCACUAGGUAGUGGACUUACAUGGGUUCACUGCCGAAGCAAAAGUGUUAAGUGCCCCGCCUGGGGAGUAUGGUCGCAAGGCUGAA